CUCCGCAUCAUUCUGUUCCUGUUUUGAAGUAGCUGAUGAAGAAACACCAGGCUCAGCUUUAAUAGCCACCUUGUCUUGUAUGUUAGAUGAAGAACUAUCAGGUAGACCAGCUUGUUUGGUGGUUUCUGAAUCUACUACUGAAGUAGCCGGUUGCUGUUCUUCAUCACUCUCUUCCUCAGAAGAAGAUUUUUCAUCUGAGGAACUCACAAAGAUGGCUUUAAAUAAGUCCAUGGGUGGUCUGCUUUCUUCUUCCUCUUCCUG
rnacentral:lncRNA from 1 species